rnacentral:rRNA from 1 species
AGAGUUUGAUCCUGGCUCAGGAUGAACGCUAGCUACAGGCUUAACACAUGCAAGUCGAGGGGCAGCAUGGUCUUAGCUUGCUAAGGCCGAUGGCGACCGGCGCACGGGUGAGUAACACGUAUCCAACCUGCCGUCUACUCUUGGACAGCCUUCUGAAAGGAAGAUUAAUACAAGAUGGCAUCAUGAGUCCGCAUGUUCACAUGAUUAAAGGUAUUCCGGUAGACGAUGGGGAUGCGUUCCAUUAGAUAGUAGGCGGGGUAACGGCCCACCUAGUCUUCGAUGGAUAGGGGUUCUGAGAGGAAGGUCCCCCACAUUGGAACUGAGACACGGUCCAAACUCCUACGGGAGGCAGCAGUGAGGAAUAUUGGUCAAUGGGCGCAGGCCUGAACCAGCCAAGUAGCGUGAAGGAUGACUGCCCUAUGGGUUGUAAACUUCUUUUAUAAAGGAAUAAAGUCGGGUAUGGAUACCCGUUUGCAUGUACUUUAUGAAUAAGGAUCGGCUAACUCCGUGCCAGCAGCCGCGGUAAUACGGAGGAUCCGAGCGUUAUCCGGAUUUAUUGGGUUUAAAGGGAGCGUAGAUGGAUGUUUAAGUCAGUUGUGAAAGUUUGCGGCUCAACCGUAAAAUUGCAGUUGAUACUGGAUAUCUUGAGUGCAGUUGAGGCAGGCGGAAUUCGUGGUGUAGCGGUGAAAUGCUUAGAUAUCACGAAGAACUCCGAUUGCGAAGGCAGCCUGCUAAGCUGCAACUGACAUUGAGGCUCGAAAGUGUGGGUAUCAAACAGGAUUAGAUACCCUGGUAGUCCACACGGUAAACGAUGAAUACUCGCUGUUUGCGAUAUACAGCAAGCGGCCAAGCGAAAGCGUUAAGUAUUCCACCUGGGGAGUACGCCGGCAACGGUGAAACUCAAAGGAAUUGACGGGGGCCCGCACAAGCGGAGGAACAUGUGGUUUAAUUCGAUGAUACGCGAGGAACCUUACCCGGGCUUGAAUUGCAACUGAAUGAUGUGGAGACAUGUCAGCCGCAAGGCAGUUGUGAAGGUGCUGCAUGGUUGUCGUCAGCUCGUGCCGUGAGGUGUCGGCUUAAGUGCCAUAACGAGCGCAACCCUUGUUGUCAGUUACUAACAGGUUCCGCUGAGGACUCUGACAAGACUGCCAUCGUAAGAUGUGAGGAAGGUGGGGAUGACGUCAAAUCAGCACGGCCCUUACGUCCGGGGCUACACACGUGUUACAAUGGGGGGUACAGAGGGCCGCUACCACGCGAGUGGAUGCCAAUCCCAAAAACCUCUCUCAGUUCGGACUGGAGUCUGCAACCCGACUCCACGAAGCUGGAUUCGCUAGUAAUCGCGCAUCAGCCACGGCGCGGUGAAUACGUUCCCGGGCCUUGUACACACCGCCCGUCAAGCCAUGGGAGCCGGGGGUACCUGAAGUGCGUAACCGCGAGGAGCGCCCUAGGGUAAAACUGGUGACUGGGGCUAAGUCGUAACAAGGUAGCCGUACCGGAAGGUGCGGCUG